UACGUAGGGUGCAAGCGUUGUCCGGAAUUAUUGGGCGUAAAGAGCUCGUAGGCGGCUUGUCGCGUCGGCUGUGAAAACCUGGGGCUCAACCCCGGGCCUGCAGCCGAUACGGGCAAGCUAGAAUUCGGUAGGGGAGACUGGAAUUCCUGGUGUAGCGGUGAAAUGCGCAGAUAUCAGGAGGAACACCUAUAGCGAAGGCAGCUUGCUGGGACGUUACUGACGCUAAGGCGCGAAAGCGUGGGGAGCGAACAGG
rnacentral:rRNA from 1 species